UCGUCAUAGCUCAUAACCCAUGAGGGGGUGACAAAGCAAGAAAGGAAGGUUAGUUGACUCUCCUCUAAUUCAUUUUGUUGCUAUUGAGAAACUCUCCUCUCCGAUUCUGAUUGUCUUAGUUAGUCCUUGGAAAUCUCCCAACAUUAGAUUAAUUUAUGCAUUAAAAACUACAAAGAGUACAAUAGUAGAAAUUAUAGUCAUAGAAACUGAUGUGGGUUGCAGAACUCCCCGGCGACGAGCCCAACGGCCUUGUACUUCACCCAGACAAGCACCAUUGGGUCGACGUUGCAGCCAGCGGCUGCAGCCAUGCAUUUGGAAAUUGCAGGGUUUCUGGUCGAUCGAACUCGUCGGUGACCAGAAAAUAUAAAAUUUAUACCUCUUGUACCACUGAUAGAGAUGUGCCUUGCUGUAAUAAGAUGAUGGGCUCAUGACUUAUCUUUCUUGGACAAAACAAGGAAUCUAGCCAUAACUAUGUACAUAUCUGGAUACUCAUCUUUUUUUUCUCAAGCUAUCAUGUCAAGUGUAGAGGAAAUGAUGAUAUACAGAAUAAGGAGAAAGACAUGCUGACAGUACAUCCAGUUCCAAUUUUCAUCAUACUAUGUGCUAAUAUAUGCUCUGAGUGAUAAUAUGCCACCUUGCGCUAUCUACACACGUAACAUGUUCUUCUUUUGUAUAAUUAUACACUAUAAAAUUAUUGUAUGCUUACCUUUGGUGGAAUUUCAGAGUUAAAAGGACAUGAAGAGUUAAUUUUGGUUGUCCUUUGUUUCAUAAAAAAUGUUGGUAUCAUUUAGAACUAUGUUUAUUUGGUGUAACCGGAAUUAAUCACUGGUUAAACAUAUAGAAGGAGUCUCUCUAUUGGAAGGGAAAAAUAUAAUAUUAGACACCAUUUAUUUUUCUGCUCGGUGAUGCAUGCAAUGUAUCAUUUGGCCUUGAUUUAAUGUACUGCACUUUUCUUCAUUGUUCUCUGUUCUUUAAUAAGUCAGACUCAUAUAGAACCUGAUAUUUCUUAGUGAUGUCUUCAAAUCCCAUGAAUGUCAUUUUGCACCGAAGGUUUGUAACCAUUGGGGAAUGUUUUCUUGCUCUGAUGUAUCAAGUUGCCAUGGGGGUGAUCUAGAGGUGAAAGCUAGCAAGCCAUCUCCUGAUAUUUUCCUUACUAGCAAGCUUAAUGCGGAACACUUAUAUUUCAGUACUUGUUUGUUUAAUUGUGUUAUUUAUCUGCAGGUCUCUUCCUUGUCCAAAGUAUGUCGUACCUAAUCAAGACAUGUUCAUUUAAUUUACCCGUCAUGUAAAUGACACAACAUGAUUCACUUGUGUAUAGUGUAAACAUAUAUUUAUUUAUGGCAAGCAGGUGUUCAAAUUAUAGUUGUGAAACGUGUAUAGUGUAAGGAUAUAAUUAUUAAGGGAAGUGACGUCACAGUGGUCGUGCCUGGUCUUCUCCGAGUCUA
rnacentral:lncRNA from 1 species